ACGCGCGGUGUUCAACUUUAGUCAGCGCCAGGCGCUUACCGAGGAGGGACGUAUCGCUCGCUGUUGCGCCGCGUAAACUCGCCGGAGUUCGAAAAUAUAGCGCAACCUACGCAUCUAACACGUUUUGAUACUAGUGAGUUUUAUUUUAUUUAUUAGUUAUAAUGAUCUGAUUGAAAUGUAAUAUACAUAAGUAUUAGGCCAUGAUAUUCUAAUUCGAAAAUGUUAUAGAUUGGGUUCUCUUUUUUUGAUGUUGGUUAUAAAGAAAUAUGUACGUAAAUGUCAUCGUCGUUAGUUUCGCUGUUGCAUAAUAAUGUAAUUGGACUUCUUUGAUUCUUGCAGGAUAAUGAAAGCAUAUUUAAUUCAGACUAUCAGACUCAAUUGAAUACCAGUACAAAUAAUAUGGAAAAUGAAGAUACAAUACAUGGAAGACGAAUUAUAGAUUUUAGUUUUUUUAUAAAUCAAUUACUUAUAAUUGAUAAACAUGGUGAAAAGUUUGGUUGUCGAUUAAAUAAUUUAAAAAUUGUACACGAUUACUUGUUUAUUGUAACUCAAUCGAGCUAUUCUAGGUUAUAAAAUUCAUCGGUACAAGUAAUAUUUCAUAAACUAUAAAAACAAUAAAUUAGGGUCAUUUCGCCUGUUCGCGACCAUCGCCCAGUUCGCGUCCAUUUUGCCGAUCUCCUUUAAAAAAUCUUCGAAAACAAGAUAAUUAACACACCAAUCAAACGAAAGAUCAUUACCGCUAAUACGUUAAUGUAUAAGAGGCACGCACAGAUAGACAAACGUUCUGUGCGUCCAACCAAUCCUUUUAGAAAAAAUAAUUAGUCUAGGCUCUUCAACAAGAAAGCGCAAACACGUUGAAUUUUAGAUAAAAAUUAGUGUGCAGCGGCGUGUUUGAUGGUAAGUUUUAUAUUGUUUUAUGUGAAUUUUAGGAUAAAUAGCUAUUUCUACAGUUUAAUGAUGAAUAAAGGUAUAAUGUUUUUUAUGAAUUUGGUAAUGUUUUUUAUAUUUAACGAAUAAAAUAAGGUGGACGCGAAUUACUACAUCGAAUUUUACAAAACUUCCACUUUGCGUCCACAAUGGACGCGAACUAAAACUAUCCUCUAUACCAGCCGUUCCCAAAUGGGGUUCCGCGGAACCCUGGUGUUCCGUGACAGGCCCUCAGGGGUUCCGUGGAAAAUUCAAGAUUUCCAUAUGGUAAAUCGUUUCACAAAUAUUGUCAAUAUUUAAUUAUUAUUCAUUUUCAAUUAGAUUGAUUUAAAUAUUGCAUUCCAAAACAUCCAUUCCAUUUAGGCACCAUGUAGGUGGGUACCUACAUGGUACUCGGGAAUGUAAGUCUCGUACUUUCGCGACAAGUGGCGGGGGAAGGCCACGGCAGCAGGUAAUUUAAUUCCGGUUUUUACAAAUUGUAGACUUAUACCUCCAGAUCUUCGGCAAUCGGCAAAAGUAGAUAGCGAGUCGGCCAAAAAUCACCGCAUUUUUUGGGCUUAUUUCAUCGCCAGGAUUAAACGUUUUCAUACAUUUGACAAGACGUGAAAUGACACGGCAUACGAGUAUUUCCAGUGGCUAUUUUACCAUGAAUCAAAGUGUGACAUUAUUUCCAAUUUUUGCACCUCCGCGAAUACGAAAAUUUCGCGCUCGCUUCGCUCGCGACUCCAUGUUGUGAUGCUUUUAUGUUCGUUUAAUUGCUCAAGUAUCCAACACCGAAAAAAUUUCGCGCUCUGCCGUCGAGGUUUCCUUUGAUAUUUAUUUUUUAUUCCUCUGGUUCAGAAAAAGCAAUAGCGCUUUCUUCGCUAGCUGCUUAAUCAUUUACAUUUGCUUUUUUGUGUGGAUAUUGUACUUUUUGAGACCUUAUUAAUUUAUAGUGGAUUUGUUUAUUUUGUGUAGGUACUUAAACUAAAAAAAAUUCGCGCUCGCUUCGCUCGCGAUACCGGCUACCACUGAAUGUCUUUCAAUGCUAGCGGGUGCUUGAAACUUCUUCUUUUAGUUAAAAAAAUCACGCUCGCUCGGCUCGCACCUGAACAAACCCAAUCUAUUUCUUUUUGCGUUUACUUUGUCAGUCUUCAAACUGAAAACUAUUCACAUAAUACACAAAGUCAAGGGCGGCUAAAUUGUUUACUGGCCCGUGUGGCAGAUAGCCAUGCUACGCCUGAGUAUAAUGAAUAUGUCUCUAACCAUAUAUAUGUCACCGUAAGAUUACAAACAUCGUUAGAUUACAAUCUAUCUCGAGAAAUUGUAAACUGUCGAAUUAUUGUAAACCGUAACACCUGAUUGCAAUUUAACGCAUUAUUUUUCGCUAUAUUAUAAUCUAUCGAUGAGAAAUUGUCAAAUUGUCAACUGUCCGAAAGCUCUCCCUGAUUGGUCAGUCUUUUUGUAAGAUCGAGAGCGAUGUAGAGCGGUCAAAUUGUUAACUGGCGUAGAACGGAAUGCAAUUUUUAAGACACAAAUUACACACAAUUAAAAAUUGUAUUAAAAAUUGAAGUUAGUGACGAAAACGAAUCGCUGCAAAACCGACUCCACGUAGUCUUGUCUGCCCUACCCCUAGAGUGCAAUUCAAAACCGCGUAGGCGCGGAGGGGCGAGGCGGCCUGCGAGCUGAGGCGCAAGUAGUUUCAGCGCUCGCCGCCGCGGCUGAGGCUGGCCGGCGGAGCCGGCCAGCAAGCCGAAGCUGCGGUGGUGAGCGUGAAAACCAUCUGCGACGAUAAGCUCGCAUGGGACCGCCGGAGCCCCGCAGCGCCGGAGCCGUGACAGAAGUUAUGCUUGCUGCAUGUUGUAAUUGUGGCAGACUUAGUAAUUUAGAAGGCAACAUACAUUUUUGGGGGCGAAUAAUGAUAUUAAAAAGAAGCCUGUUUAAUUAGCACCCCUUUUAUUUUAUUUUUAAAUAUUAGUUUGUAUUUGAAGACAAAAUACCUAACUGUAUUUUUAUAAGAGUUAUUUUUAUAUAAAUUUAAUACUUGAAGAAUUUUUGAA